UCAGAGAAAAGCUAAUGGACUUCACAUUGAAGAGAACACCUACAUGGCUCCCGUCUGGGGGUUUCCUCCUCCUCAUGGUGGGAUGGACGUGCGGUUGUCAUCAGGAUGUGAGGCCUCAGGGGGGGCUGCAGUUGGCCCGGAUCUCCUGGAUCUAUCUGUGUCUGCCUCUGGCUCCUGGGGACAUUAUUGUGCUUUCCCACCCUUUUUAUCAAGUACAAUUUAUGGCAAAGGCACAUACAGAGACACUUGCUCACUUCUUACAGCUGCAGCAGUUUGUGAUACAUUGUGCUUUUCUAUUUGUGCUCUAUCCCUUUAUUAUAUUUUCUCAUAUUUUUUACCCCCUUCAUUCUUUUUUUCUUCCUCCUGCCUGUCAGCUUAGACAUGGUCAUACUACAUAUAUAAUGUAAUAACUGAAGCCUAAAUGCAUCUGACAUAAGACGCAUCUGGCCACUGAGAGUAAGACUGCUCCUCCCAGGCUGCUGGUUUACAUUUCGGCUCCAAAUUCUAAAAAAACAAAAAACAAAAAAAAAACGCAUGAAUAUGAGCAGCCUAUAGAGCUCAUCUUAGAAAGAACUAAUUCAGGCUCUAAUAACUGUAACAAAGGCUCUGGCCACUACAUUGAAAACAUAUACCAGAGAAACAGAGGCCAAGACAAUAAAUAGCCUGUUCUCCAAAGAUCCAUCCAGCAUGUACCGGGGGAAUAGGGUAGACUUACCCAGAGCUGAAACUGGAAGAAUAUCAGGAAACAAGAAGCUUUAAAUAACACCAGUGCCAAGUGGCUGGUAAAGCCACAAUCAGACCAUAGCAACCUCCCAGAGCUAUAUACACCACCAAGACAGACAUCCAACAACAAGUCUCCAGAAUGAAGAGCUGUGCAGCACCAGGACGUGACAUGAUCCGUGCCUACUGGCUGAAGAAGCUAUUCUAAUCUGGGAUCACCUGGCAGCACAAAUAAGGGGUCUGCUAACAGAAGGUACUCCUCCAACUAACACAGAGCAGAACAAUCCUGGUAAUGAAGGAUCUCAUAACAUCAGCCUAUUGCCUUUCUUUCCAUGGCAUAGAAGCUCCUAUCAGACAUCAUAGCAACCAAACUGAGUAGGCACAUGAGUGAAUACAUGAGCACAGCUCAGAAAGGAAUUGGAAAUAACACCAGAGAGCCAAAACACCAGUUCCUGGUCAAUAGAGCAGUAUACCAGGGCUAAGACCUGGCAGGCAGAUCUGAGCAAGGCCUGAAAAUUGCCCCACACAUGGCACAGGUGGAGGCCCUAAACAUCAGAUCCAGAGAGGCAGCAGUCUACCACAGGCAACAGGACCCAAGUUGCAGAUUGGUGCCCUAGGCAAGGCAAGGCAAGUUUAUUUGUAUAGCACAAUUCAACAACAAGGCGAUUCAAAGUGCUUUACAGAGACAUUAGAAACAAGAACAAAUAAAAAGCAUGAUUUAAAAUUGA
ensembl:lncRNA